AUUGAACGCUGGCGGCAGGCCUAACACAUGCAAGUCGAGCGAGCGGCGGACGGGUGAGUAAUGUAUGGGGAACUGCCCGAUGGAGGGGGAUAACUACUGGAAACGGUAGCUAAUACCGCAUACCAUCAGAUGUGCCCAGAUGGGAUUAGCUAGUAGGUGGGGUAAUGGCUCACCUAGGCGACGAUCCCUAGCUGUUCUGAGAGGAUGACCAGCCACACUGGAACUGAAACACGGUCCAGACUCCGACGGGAGGCAGCAGGGGUGAAUAUGGCACAAUGGGCGCAAGCCGGUGGCAGCCAUGCCGCGUGUGUGAAGAAGUCCUUCGGGUUGUAAAGGACUUUCAGCGGGGAGGCGUGACCCGCAGAAUAAGCACCGGCUAACUCCGUGCCAGCAGCCGCGGUAAUAC
rnacentral:rRNA from 1 species